UACGGAGGGGGUUAGUGUUGUUCGGAAUUACUGGGCGUAAAGCGCGCGUAGGCGGAUCGGAAAGUUGGGGGUGAAAUCCCGGGGCUCAACCCCGGAACUGCCUCCAAAACUAUCGGUCUUGUGUUCGAGAGAGGUGAGUGGAAUUCCGAGUGUAGAGGUGAAAUUCGUAGAUAUUCACAGGAACACCAGUGGCGAAGGCGGCUCACUGGCUCGAUACUGACGCUGAGGUGCGAAAGCAUGGGGAGCAAACAGG
rnacentral:misc_RNA from 1 species